rnacentral:rRNA from 1 species
GACGAACGCUGGCGGCGUGCUUAACACAUGCAAGUCGAACGGAAAGGCCCUGCUUUUGUGGGGUGCUCGAGUGGCGAACGGGUGAGUAACACGUGAGUAACCUGCCCUUGACUUUGGGAUAACUUCAGGAAACUGGGGCUAAUACCGGAUAGGAGCUCCUGCUGCAUGGUGGGGGUUGGAAAGUUUCGGCGGUUGGGGAUGGACUCGCGGCUUAUCAGCUUGUUGGUGGGGUAGUGGCUUACCAAGGCUUUGACGGGUAGCCGGCCUGAGAGGGUGACCGGCCACAUUGGGACUGAGAUACGGCCCAGACUCCUACGGGAGGCAGCAGUGGGGAAUAUUGCACAAUGGGCGGAAGCCUGAUGCAGCAACGCCGCGUGCGGGAUGACGGCCUUCGGGUUGUAAACCGCUUUCGCCUGUGACGAAGCGUGAGUGACGGUAAUGGGUAAAGAAGCACCGGCUAACUACGUGCCAGCAGCCGCGGUGAUACGUAGGGUGCGAGCGUUGUCCGGAUUUAUUGGGCGUAAGGGGCUCGUAGGUGGUUGAUCGCGUCGGAAGUGUAAUCUUGGGGCUUAACCCUGAGCGUGCUUUCGAUACGGGUUGACUUGAGGAAGGUAGGGGAGAAUGGAAUUCCUGGUGGAGCGGUGGAAUGCGCAGAUAUCAGGAGGAACACCAGUGGCGAAGGCGGUUCUCUGGGCCUUUCCUGACGCUGAGGAGCGAAAGCGUGGGGAGCGAACAGGCUUAGAUACCUUGGUAGUCCACGCUGUAAACGGUGGGUACUAGGUGUGGGGUCCAUUCCACGGGUUCCGUGCCGUAGCUAACGCUUUAAGUACCCCGCCCGGGGAGUACGGCCGCAAGGCUAAAACUCAAAGGAAUUGACGGGGCCCCGCACAAGCGGCGGAGCAUGCGGAUUAAUUCGAUGCAACGCGUAGAACCUUACCUGGGUUUGACAUGGAUCGGGAGUGCUCAGAGAUGGGUGUGCCUCUUUUGGGGUCGGUUCACAGGUGGUGCAUGGCUGUCGUCAGCUCGUGUCGUGAGAUGUUGGGUUAAGUCCCGCAACGAGCGCAACCCUUGUUCACUGUUGCCAGCACGUUAUGGUGGGGACUCAGUGGAGACCGCCGGGGUCAACUCGGAGGAAGGUGGGGAUGACGUCAAGUCAUCAUGCCCCUUAUGUCCAGGGCUUCACGCAUGCUACAAUGGCUGGUACAGAGAGUGGCGAGCCUGUGAGGGUGAGCGAAUCUCGGAAAGCCGGUCUCAGUUCGGAUUGGGGUCUGCAACUCGACCUCAUGAAGUCGGAGUCGCUAGUAAUCGCAGAUCAGCAACGCUGCGGUGAAUACGUUCCCGGG